UCCCGAAAUUUGCAUUGAUUGGAGGAGCGGGUUUGCUUGAUUACGGGGCGGACUCCAACUUUCCAUAAUUAGACUGCAGUGAGACACGGAAGCCCUUUCGCUUCCUUCCGUUCCACCACUGACCGGGGGUUGUGUUGUUGAUGUCGGGGAGGACACUCUAGCUGGUGCUUCUCGCUGUAAGCGAGUGCGUUGACUCGUACAGUCUCUCCUGCUGUAAUUGCUCGUGGCUCGGCUUGUGGCUGGAGCACUGAAGUCCUCCGAGUAGUGCGCGAAGCGUGUGCAAGCUUCUGCUACGGAGAUCUUUGCGCCAUCACGAUUCAGAUUGAGGCUACGUGCGCAGUAUAACCACUCGGGCGGGGAGUGACCAGCAACUAGGGGUGGCUGCACUCCUUCGGCGCAGUGUCUCCUCGAGCAGCAUUGACAUAGCAAAGUUAAGUAGAGUGGAAUGCAUUAGUCUGUACUAAAAUUGACAUAGCCUAUACACUGUACUCGAUCCUGUGUCUCAAGCCCCUUUUCUCUCUUCUAUAUUUUGGACAGGUGUGGUUGGAGCGAGGCAACCGGCAGGCAGACCUUGGUGGUGGACCCCUCUUCACUUUCUUUGCUGUGCCGCACGACGGGUGUUUAUCUUAUUAUUUUUGUGUGUUUUGUGUUUUUUUAUUAUUCCUUCACGAGUGGUGUAUAUUCUGGGACUUCCUCUUCUCUCGCUCUACUGCCCGGUAAGCCUAUGCCCCACCCCCAGUUAGUUUCAUAACAAUUGCACAGGCUUCUCUCUAGUGUGGCUAUCAGGUUAGCAUAUUAGUGGAGUUGCAGCCGCCCUGAGUAGUGAUCCUGUGUUUGUUACAAUAAUACUGGAGCAAUCGUAAUUAUUAUCUAUUUGUAUUGUGCUCAAGCAACUGUAACCCUUCCUGUUGAGGAGCGCCCUCACAGUUUAAGUGGCUACCUGUGUUUGUU